rnacentral:rRNA from 1 species
AUGGAGCAGUUGGUAGGAUUGCGUCCACGACACGGUUUUUUUUGUCCCACCACUUUCGUCCGGUUUUUUCCGUCCCACCUCCCACCACCACCUGCAUUUUAUUCUCUUUACAAAAUAUUACAGAAGAAAAAAAAAUGCUGCCACUCCUCCCUCAAUUUUUGUCUAGGGUUCCCUGCCUUCGCCUCUACCAUCGCAGAAGCCGAGGGCACGCCGCCGCCUCUGCUGAUCCCUAGGGACGCCGCCUCCGUGGAUGAAGUGGUUCCAUUCGAUCGGUACACAAGAGGAACCCAUCUAUGGCCACAUCACCCCUGA